UACAUGUAACUGUUACUGAGCAACCUACCACUACCACUCUUACAGCAACAAGCCAUUUAACCACCUUAUCAUCAACUCCUGAGCCUGUGAGUGUCACCACUGUUUUUACAGACAACUCAUCUACCACAGUUCAGGGUGAACAGCACAGCCCCAGUGUUCCAGUGGACCUGAUGCGCUUCAUCAUCCCUUUGAGUUUGCUGUUCUUUGUUGUAAUGGUGACAUUGUGCAUCUGGUUUGUGUUCAAAAGACACA